rnacentral:lncRNA from 1 species
ACUACUGGACUGUUUUCUUGUAGUGAGAAUGGUGAGCUUCCAAGUGGAUGGGAUUCCGUCAUGAGCAGCUCCUAAGAGAUGUACCUGCGAAAGGGCUCCAACGCCUAAGUUAGAGAGAAGGAGUUGGUAGGGAGGGAAGCAAUAGAAUGGAGUGAAUAGAGUGCACCUUCAAGUCUUCCAUGACUUUCCUUUUAUGUGAAUGAGGUUGAGAGCUCCAAGGUUGUCAUGAGUGUCCAGUACAAUUUUGCGGUUUAGACCAUCAAAUCCUCUAACUUCGUCCAUGCCUUGGUUGUUAGGCCACGUCACUUGACGUGAAAUUGUGAGGGGAAAGCCUUGGACUUCAGGAUAUGGUUCUAGGCUAGAGACUUUAGAAUGUCGUCGGUUGCUUCGUGUGACUGUUGAAAUAACGUCGAUUCACCAUACGCAUACUCAGGGAAACGGAUCCUUUGCAUGAGUACCAGAGUAGUAGCUCAUUGUUCUAGGCAUGUGCGUCAAUGGAUGCCUAGAGCCUAGAGGUAUGAUGGCAGUGGGGUUCUUUGGUUGGCGGCGUCAGUCUGUGGGUAUCGUUAAUUAGCAAUCCUAUCCGAC